GGACGAACGCUGGCGGCGCGCUUAAUGCAUGCAAGUCGAGCGGUGUUCCGCAAGGGACGCAGCGGCAGACGGCUGAGUAACGCGUGAGCGACCUGCCCCAGAGAGGGGAAUAAUCCGCCGAAAGGCGGACUAAUACCGCGUACGCUCCGCAGCAUAAAAGCUGUGGAGGAAACGAGCGGGGUAACCUGUCUCGGCUCUGGGAGGGGCUUGCGUCCUAUCAGGUAGUCGGCGGGGUAACGGCCCACCGAGCCUAAGACGGGUAGCCGGAGUGAGAGCUUGUACGGCCAGAGGGGGACUGAGAUACGGCCCCCACUCCUACGGGAGGCAGCAGCAGGGAAUUUUGCACAAUGGGCGAAAGCCUGAUGCAGCGACGCCGCGUGAGGGAUGAAGGCCUUCGGGUCGUAAACCUCUUUUCUCAGGGACGAGCAAGGACGGUACCUGAGGAAUAAGCAAUGGCUAACUACGUGCCAGCAGCCGCGGUAAUACGUAGGUUGCGAGCGUUGUCCGGAAUCACUGGGCGUAAAGGGUCCGCAGGUGGUCCGUUAAGUCUCCUGUGAAAUCUCCGGGCUUAACCCGGAAAGGUCGGGGGAUACUGGCGGACUAGAGGCCAUUAGAGGGAAGCAGAAUUCCCGGUGUAGUGGUGAAAUGCGUAGAUAUCGGGAGGAAUACCAGUGGCGAAAGCGGCUUCCUGGGGUGGUCCUGACACUCAUGGACGAAAGUGUGGGGAGCAAACCGGAUUAGAUACCCGGGUAGUCCACACCCUAAACGUUGGGAUGCUGGGUUUGCGGGGUAUCGACCCCCUGCGAGCCGAAGUUAACACGUUAAGCAUCCCGCCUGGGGACUACGGCCGCAAGGCUAAAACUCAAAGGAAUUGACGGGGGCCCGCACAAGCAGCGGAGCGUGUGGUUUAAUUCGAUGCAAAACGAAGAACCUUACCUGGGCUUGACAUGCAGGUAGUACCGAGCCGAAAGGCAAGGGAUCCGCAAGGAAGCCUGCACAGGUGCUGCAUGGUUGUCGUCAGUUCGUGCCGUGAGGUGUUGGGUUAAGUCCCGCAACGAGCGCAACCCCCGUGGCUAGUUACACUCUCUAGCCAGACUGCCCCUGAAAGGGAGGAAGGUGGGGAUGACGUCAAAUCAUCAUGGCUCUUACGUCCAGGGCUACACACACGCUACAAUGGCCGGUACAGACGGUUGCUAAGCCGCGAGGCGGAGCCAAUCCGAAAAAGCCGGCCUCAGUUGGAAUUGCAGGCUGAAACCCGCCUGCAUGAACGUGGAGUUGCUAGUAACCGCAGGUCAGCAUACUGCGGUGAAUACGUUCCCGGGCCUUGUACACACC
rnacentral:rRNA from 1 species